AAACAAAUGCAAAAUGAAAAAAAAAAGGAAAAUCGAAAAAAAUAUGUUAAAGGUUGCGUGUCAGGCAGCACUAGUGAAGCCUUCCUGACAGGCGGCACCGAUGCCAGCCCUGACUCCUCCCAUGGCUACUAUUGCUACGUGGUGAUGGGAUGAGACCCUUAAGGGUCUCGUGAAUUUAGGGUUUGAAAGACCUUAUAACCAUAGUCCCCCAAAAUGAAAAAAAUAAAUUCGAAAGAGAAGAGAAUGAGAAGGAAAAAAAAAGAAAGAAAAAUAGAAGAUUAGCAUAAUAAAGAAAAGAAGAAGGAAAAGAUAAAAGAGAAGGGAAGGAGAACUAAAAAAAAAAAAGAUUUCGUUAGGGAUUUGGGGUUUGAAGAAAAGGGUUUUGUUAGAGUUUAGGGUUUGAAUAAAAAAAGAUUAAACGAUUUUGAUCAUGGUUUGAAAAAAAGAGGGAUUAGAGGGCUUUGUUUAGGGUUUAAAAAAGGAUUAGAGGGUUUUGUUUAGG
rnacentral:lncRNA from 1 species